UAGGGAAUCUUCCACAAUGGACGAAAGUCUGAUGGAGCAACGCCGCGUGAGUGAAGAAGGGUUUCGGCUCGUAAAACUCUGUUGUUAAAGAAGAACAUAUCUGAGAGUAACUGUUCAGGUAUUGACGGUAUUUAACCANAAGCCACGGCUAACUACGUGCCAA
rnacentral:rRNA from 1 species